rnacentral:misc_RNA from 1 species
AACUAACGUUAUUCUAGAUACAGUUUCUGUACUUUAUUGGUAUGAGAAACUUCCAGAAUUCAUUUUCUGGCAAAUUUUGGACUGGGGCCUUCGGGCCCC